rnacentral:rRNA from 1 species
GAUAAACGCUGGCGGCGCACAUAAGACAUGCAAGUCGAACGGACUUAACCAUUAGUUUACUAUUAGAGCGGUUAGUGGCGGACUGGUGAGUAACGCGUAAGCAAUCUGCCUAUCAGAGGGGAAUAACAGUGAGAAAUCACUGCUAAUACCGCAUAAGCUGUGGAGUAUCGCAUGAUACAAAUAGAAAAGGAGCAAUCCGCUGAUAGAUGAGCUUGCGUCUGAUUAGUUAGUUGGUGAGGUAACGGCCCACCAAGACGAUGAUCAGUAGCCGGACUGAGAGGUUGAACGGCCACAUUGGGACUGAGAUACGGCCCAG